UUGCUAAAAUUGACUGGGAAUACUUAGAGAUUUCAUCGUAGAAUGGCGUAGUUAUAUUCAUUUGCUCUUUGACUAAAAUGUUUAGCUGUAUUAUUGCUAAACAUGCCGGUUUUUUUUAUUUGGUUUGCAACUAGGUUUCAACAUCCAACCACGCCAUCAGCCCAUUGAAAACAUUAGAUCACGUCAGCUAGUUUCCUAUCCAUUUAUUUUAUUAUCCAUGUUAUUACUA